rnacentral:misc_RNA from 1 species
AAGGAUCAUUCAUAAUAAGUGUUUUUACUAGCACUUUUUAAAUCUAGUACCCACCUUGUGUGCAAUGUGUAUCGCUUGGUUUACCCCGAGUGAUAAUAACACCAACUUUUAUUAUAAAACCCAUUGUCUGAAGAUUAUUUCUGAAUAUAAUAAUUCAAAAUACAACUUUCAACAACGGAUCUCUUGGCUCUC